rnacentral:rRNA from 1 species
AUACGGAGGAUACAAGCGUUAUCCGGAUUUAUUGGGUUUAAAGGGUGCGCAGGCGGACCGCUAAGUCAGGGGUGAAAAGUUCGUGCUUAACAUGAAUCGUGCCUUUGAUACUGGCGGACUAGAGCGCGAUCGGCGUGGACGGAAUGCGGUGUGUAGAGGUGAACUGGUUAGAUAUGCCAAAGAACACCAAUUGAGAAGUCAGGUCACGAGUUCGCAACUGACGCUCAUGCACGAAAGCGUGGGGAUCAAACAGGAUUAGUUACCCUGUUAGUCCACGCCGUAAACGAUGAUCACUCGUUUCCGGGGGGCGACCUUCGGUGGCCAAGCGAAAGCGAUAAGUGACCCACCUGGGGAGUACGAUCGAAAGGUUGAAACUCAAAUGAAUUGACGGG